rnacentral:rRNA from 2 species
AUGGGGGAAACCCUGAUCCAGCCAUCCCGCGUGUGCGAUGAAGGCCUUCGGGUUGUAAAGCACUUUUGGCAGGAAAGAAACGUCCCGGGAUAAUACCCCGGGAAACUGACGGUACCUGCAGAAUAAGCACCGGCUAACUACGUGCCAGCAGCCGCGGUAAUACGUAGGGUGCAAGCGUUAAUCGGAAUUACUGGGCGUAAAGCGUGCGCAGGCGGUUCGGAAAGAAAGAUGUGAAAUCCCAGAGCUUAACUUUGGAACUGCAUUUUUAACUACCGAGCUAGAGUGUGUCAGAGGGAGGUGGAAUUCCGCGUGUAGCAGUGAAAUGCGUAGAUAUGCGGAGGAACACCGAUGGCGAAGGCAGCCUCCUGGGAUAACACUGACGCUCAUGCACGAAAGCGUGGGGAGCAAACAGGAUUAGAUACCCUGGUAGUCCACGCCCUAAACGAUGUCAACUAGCUGUUGGGGCCUUCGGGCCUUGGUAGCGCAGCUAACGCGUGAAGUUGACCGCCUGGGGA